UACGUAGGGACCAAGCGUUGUUCGGAUUUACUGGGCGUAAAGGGCGCGUAGGCGGCAAUUCAAGUCAUCUGUGAAAUCUCCGGGCUUAACUCGGAACGGUCAGAUGAUACUGCUUUGCUAGAGUGCGGAAGGGGCAACUGGAAUUCUCGGUGUAGCGGUGAAAUGCGUAGAUAUCGAGAGGAACACCUGCGGCGAAGGCGGGUUGCUGGGCCGACACUGACGCUGAUGCGCGAAAGCCAGGGGAGCGAACGGG
rnacentral:rRNA from 1 species